CCCAGGUCAGGCGGGAUUACCCGCUGA
rnacentral:snRNA from 1 species